rnacentral:rRNA from 1 species
GAUGAACGCUGGCGGCGUGCCUAAUACAUGCAAGUAGAACGCUGAAGGAAGGAGCUUGCUCUUUCCGGAUGAGUUGCGAACGGGUGAGUAACGCGUAGGUAACCUGCCUGGUAGCGGGGGAUAACUAUUGGAAACGAUAGCUAAUACCGCAUAACAGUAGAUGUUGCAUGAUAUCUACUUAAAAGGUGCAAUUGCACCACUACCAGAUGGACCUGCGUUGUAUUAGCUAGUUGGUGAGGUAACGGCUCACCAAGGCGACGAUACAUAGCCGACCUGAGAGGGUGAUCGGCCACACUGGGACUGAGACACGGCCCAGACUCCUACGGGAGGCAGCAGUAGGGAAUCUUCGGCAAUGGACGGAAGUCUGACCGAGAAACGCCGCGUGAGUGAAGAAGGUUUUCGGAUCGUAAAGCUCGGUUGUAAGAGAAGAACGAGUGUGAGAGUGGAAAGUUCACACUGUGACGGUAUCUUACCAGAAAGGGACGGCUAACUACGUG